rnacentral:rRNA from 1 species
GACGUAGGGCGCGAGCGUUGUCCGGAUUUAUUGGGCGUAAAGAGCUCGUAGGCGGCUUGUCGCGUCGUUCGUGAAAACCUGUGGCUCAACUACAGGCUUGCGGUCGAUACGGGCAGGCUGGAGUUCGGUAGGGGGAGACUGGAAUUCCUGGUGUAGCGGUGGAAAAUGCGCAGAUAUCAGGAGGAACACCGGUGGCGAAGGGCGGGGUCUCUGGGGCCGAUACUGACGCUGAGGGAGCGAAAAGCGUGGGGGAGCGAACAGG